rnacentral:lncRNA from 1 species
UUACUCUUAAAAUAAAUAGCUCGGAGACAUCUUAAGUACAGGGGAAAAAACAAACCAAACACUUUAGGCAAGAAACAUUGUUGCAUUUGAGAUGAUGCAUUACUGGAUUUCCAGUUGGCGGGUGGAAUGGAAAAGGAGGAAGAAGUAUUGUAAGAGAAUCAAAUGCUCAUUUGUUUUUUAUUUACUGUCUAAGAGCUUGAUCCCAAUGAAAGAUUCCCGACUUCAGGCAGAAUUCUGGUCUUUCAACAGAAUGGUUUAUGUUGUGCAUAUCAACAGCUAUGAACUUUGACAUUCACCAGAAAGUUGCAAGAGGUUCACGUAGAUUUAAGUAGUAAAGGAAGGGGACGUGAAAGCGUCCCCUCUACCCCUCUUUCUGCCCCUGUUAAAAACGAUGGCUGGCUCCAACCCCACUGGUACCCAAGCAUUUCCCCUCACACUGGCACUCCUUUGGGGACUGAGAAGAAAAAAAGGUUUUACUCGGUGAACCCACACCACUGCCAGCCCAACCAGAGGGGCAUUUGUGGGUGUUACUGAUCCUGCACCCCUGGGUAAGACAGCAAAGACUUUCUUUAAAAUUAGUGAAUUUAAUAACCACAGCUCCUAGUAACGUCACCUCUCUCGCACUUGUGAUCCCCCUAAUGCUUACUCCAAAGACUUCCAGUAACUCCCCUUGCACAGGUACUGUGGGGUUUGGCGAUGGAAGUUCAGGUACCGCACUUCGGGCGGCACUGAAGCAACGGGAACCUGCCUGCCACCGGGGGACCUGGCUGGGAGGCUGGCUGCUCUCCCCACUAGGUGUCCGCACACCUGUAACUCUCUAACUCCAGCCUCGGCUGUCCCUGAAGUGCGAUGCUGCCGCUCUCCGAGAGGAGAUGGCCGAGGCAAGCACCACCCCGGAGCGCGAUUUUCCGCAGGACAGCGAGACUAGAUGCCUAAAGUUUGCUUCUUCAUGCAUUUCCUUCACCUGGACAACCUGCCAUCUCCAGGGAGCAGGACCUAGGAUUAUGGAAGGUACAUAUUAUUUCUGUGACAGAUCAAACAAAAUAACAACAUCAGUACUGGCAUUUCCAAGAAAGGCUUAAUGGUGGGGAAUUUGCUAGUUUCAGUCAGGUGCAACCUUUAAUUUGGUAGCUACCUUUGGAGAUCAUGCAAGUCCUUUAAAUUCCAGGAUAGUUGCUUUUGUCUGAUGUUACAAAAUGAGGCGGUCAGAGAUCCUUUGAAUUGCAGUAGGCAAAAAGGUGACGGGAAACAGUUCUGCCCACUUAGAGUUUCAUCCAAGUCCUGCUAUAAGGACUGGAAAGAUACCCAUUGACUUCACUGGGAACUGGAUGAGGCUCUAAACGUCAAUAAAAUCAAAGAAGUCUCACA